AAUCAAACUCAGUUGAUUCAGUGAUUGACAGAGACACGUGUGAUGAUCCUCAUGUCUGUAAAAACCUGCACAACAUCCACGGAUUUGACAUCACAAGAGUAAGGUUAAUGUACGAAAGUUGGUCUUGAAGAUGUUUUCAGAAUUAAAGUGAAUGAUACAGUUUUCUAUAGUUUGGCUAAUAGAAGAUGUUCAGUAAUUGUUUUUUGUUUCAGGCCUGUGACUGAGACUGAGCGACUGUCUCCAGGUAAAUGAUGUGAGUGUGUUUGCAUAUUGAUCAGAUGCUUCAGUGCUCUGAGAGUGUUUAUAGUGCUGUGAGUUUAACACUUCAUCACUGACACACACAACAAUCUUCAUCAACAUGACCUUCAUCAUCAUCUUCAUCUGGACUCUUUCAUACUGCUUUAUACUACAAGGGUGUAAAGCUCAGAUCACAGUCACUCAGACUCCAGUGAAACCUGUCACACCAGGAGAAAAUGUAGAGAUGAGCUGUAAACUCAGUACUCCUGCACCCUGCAGCCCAAACCCCUGUGUGUUCUGGUACUUACAGAAACCUGGAGAAGCUCCUAAACUCCUGAUUCGUUAUGUUAACACCCGUCAGUCAGGAACUCCAUCUAGAUUCAGUGGCAGUGGAUCUGGGACUGAUUUCACUCUGACCAUCAGUGGAGUCCAGACUGAAGAUGCUGGACAUUAUUACUGUCAGAGUUACCACUACAUCAAUAGUAAAAGUGUGUUCACACAGUGA